rnacentral:hammerhead_ribozyme from 1 species
AUCCAGCUGACGAGUCUGAGAUAGGACGGAAUGCACAUUCUGGAU